rnacentral:tRNA from 1 species
GAGCCCGUGGCUCAAUGGUAGAGCGUUCGACUCAAAUACCAAAGGUCGCUGGUUCGAAUCCCAGGUGCG